rnacentral:lncRNA from 1 species
CUCUCACUCUCUACCCGCUGGGCGGUACCCCGCAUCUCGCUCUGGCCGCCCCAGAGGUUCGCGGCUUCUGGACCUGCUGUGCCCCUCUCCAGCCUGGAUCAGGACGGAGAACACCCCCGAAACCCACCUCACCAGCACAGCCGGCGGACCCUUCCGGAGGUGGCCGCAGAGACUAGCCAACUUGCGCGCCCGCCGACCCGGACCACAGCUCCCAGCACACCUCAAGGGCCCACGCCCGCCAGGACUACAAUUCCCGGCGUCCUCCGGAAGCUCAAGUGUACCCAGGCGCGGUGCCUGCUGGGAAUUGUAGUUGACGUUGGUCAGCACGGAGGCCACAGGAUCCCAGCCCGGCCUUUGUGGGACUGAGGUGGCGCUGAGUGGGAGAGCAGCAGGCGAUGCGCGAAAG